rnacentral:piRNA from 1 species
UACUAGAAAGGACAGUCUUAAGCCA